AAGGCGUAACAAGGUUUCGUAGAACCUGCGGAAGGAUCAUUAACACGUAUCCAAACGUUAAAACAACACCUGUGAACCUUCAGCGUGUUCUUGCACAGCAAUCCCGAGUAUAUCAGGCGCUACAGAAUUACAGAUUUUGAUUUUGGGAAGAUCUGUGUGUUCUGGACGCCAAUUGAGCGCUAGAUAAAGCACCCUGGUACCCUAGAGCAAUCUCCUGUCUGAAGCGAGGAGCACUGUGUGUACCCUCCGGGACUUGGCGAAAGCUGACUCCGUCAUAAAUCGAAGAACUGUCAACAAUGAAUAUCUUGGUUCUC
rnacentral:misc_RNA from 1 species